GCGCCCGUAGUUCAACGGAUAGAACAUCGACCUCCGGAGCCGAAGAUUACUGGUUCGAAUCCAGUCGGGCGCA
rnacentral:tRNA from 1 species